rnacentral:ribozyme from 13 species
GGAAAAAAGGGCCCUUUUUUCUUCUUCCUUCCUUCCUUCUUCUUUCUUCUUUCCUUCUUCCUCUUUACCCUCCUUGUCAAGUUGAUCGAGAAUCAUUUGAGAGAAACGAAUUGGGGGAGGAAGUUUUGCUGUUGC